AGUGCGGCCGUCAUGGCGUCGCCCUUCAGCGGGGCGCUGCAGCUGACGGACCUGGAUGACUUCAUCGGGCCGUCUCAGGAGUGCAUCAAGCCUGUCAAAGUGGAAAAAAGGGCGGGAAGUGGCGUGGCCAAGAUUCGCAUUGAAGAUGACGGGAGCUACUUCCAAAUUAACCAAGACGGCGGGACCCGGAGGCUGGAGAAGGCCAAGGUCUCGCUAAACGACUGCCUAGCGUGCAGCGGCUGCAUCACCUCCGCAGAGACCGUGCUUAUCACCCAGCAGAGCCACGAGGAGCUGAAGAAGGUUCUAGAUGCUAACAAGGGGUGCACUUCGUCUUCGACACUGCCUUCUCAAGGCACUUCAGCCUCCUGGAGAGCCAGCGAGAGUUUGUGCGGCGAUUCCGAGGACAGGCCGACUGCAAACAGGCCCUGCCCCUGCUGGCCUCCGCCUGCCCAGGCUGGAUCUGCUAUGCCGAGAAGACCCACGGCAGCUUCAUCCUCCCCCACAUCAGCACCGCCCGGUCCCCGCAGCAGGUCAUGGGCUCUCUGGUCAAGGACUUCUUCGCCCAGCAGCAGGUAACGGCGUUGGGCCAGCCCCAGGCUCAGGCUGGGGAGCGGCCAGAAGUCACCAUGCUGGCCUCUUGCCUUGAGGCUGCAGAAACAGAGUCCCCGCCGUGGUGUGCCGCCUUCCCGAGCACACCUGCACCCUUGUUCCCUCCUGGUUCAGGCCCUUCCUCUUCUGCAGCAGAGGGCUUCGUUCUGAUCCAGAGGUGCUCACUGCUCACCCAGAGGCAGCCAGGCCUGAGGCUGAGGGAGCAGGAGGCCCUGGGCAGUCCGGGCCUGGAGCCCACCCUGCCGGCCACCAGGUCCACGAGGAUGCCCAGCACGACCCCCACCUGAGGCCCAGCGGGAUUGAAGCCUGACGACGCUCAGCCAGCAGGGGGCGGGAGAGGGUGAGGGCGG
rnacentral:sRNA from 1 species